GUGCUAUAGGCCGGUAGUCGUUCAGUGUUGAGGCUGGGGAUUUCUUGGGUAGCGGUAUGAUGGUGGUGGCUUUGAAGCAUGCUGGUAUGAUGGCUUGGCUCAGAGAGGUGUUGAAUGGCAACAGUACGGGUCAUGGGUCGUGACCCGACUGCCGUG